ACGAGAGGACCGGGAUGGACGUACCGCUGGUGCACCAGUUGUUCCGCCAGGAGCACGGCUGGGUAGCUAAGUACGGAAGGGAUAAGCGCUGAAAGCAUCUAAGCGUGAAGCCCCCCUCAAGAUGAGAUUUCCCAAUUCGUAAGACCCCUUGAAGACGACGAGGUAGAUAGGUUGGAGGUGGAAGUGCAGCAAUGCAUGGAGCUGACCAAUACUAAUCGGUCGAGGGCUUAUCCUA
rnacentral:ncRNA from 1 species